rnacentral:rRNA from 1 species
UACGAAGGGGGCUAGCGUUGUUCGGGAUCACUGGGCGUAAAGCGCACGUAGGCGGAUCUUUAAGUUAGGGGUGAAAUCCCGAGGCUCAACCUCGGAACUGCCUUCGAUACUGGGGAUCUCGAGUCCGGGAGAGGUGAGUGGAACUGCGAGUGUAGAGGUGAAAUUCGUAGAUAUUCGCAAGAACACCAGUGGCGAAGGCGGCUCACUGGCCCGGAACUGACGCUGAGGUGCGAAAGCGUGGGGAGCAAACAGG